rnacentral:rRNA from 1 species
UACGUAGGGUGCAAGCGUUGUCCGGAAUUAUUGGGCGUAAAGAGCUCGUAGGCGGUCUGUCGCGUCUGCUGUGAAAAUCCAGGGCUCAACCCCGGGCCUGCAUUCGAUACGGGCAGACUAGAGUUCGGUAGGGGAGUCUGGAAUUCCUGGUGUAGCGGUGAAAUGCGCAGAUAUCAGGAGGAACACCGGUGGCGAAGGCGGGACUCUGGGCCGAUACUGACGCUGAGGAGCGAAAGCGUGGGGAGCAAACAGG